CCUACGGGUGGCAGCAGUGGGGAAUAUUGGACAAUGGGCGAAAGCCUGAUCCAGCCAUGCCGCGUGUGUGAAGAAGGCCUUCGGGUUGUAAAGCACUUUCAGUGGGGAAGAAAGCCUUGGGGCUAAUACCCUCGAGGAAGGACAUCACCCACAGAAGAAGCACCGGCUAACUCCGUGCCAGCAGCCGCGGUAAUACGGAGGGUGCGAGCGUUAAUAGGAAUUACUGGGCGUAAAGCGCGCGUAGGCGGUCUGAUAAGCCGGUUGUGAAAGCCCCGGGCUCAACCUGGGAACGGCAUCCGGAACUGUCAGGCUAGAGUGCAGGAGAGGAAGGUAGAAUUCCCGGUGUAGCGGUGAAAUGCGUAGAGAUCGGGAGGAAUACCAGUGGCGAAGGCGGCCUUCUGGACUGACACUGACGCUGAGGUGCGAAAGCGUGGGUAGCAAACAGGAUUAGAUACCCCAGUAGUC
rnacentral:rRNA from 1 species